ACAUUACACAAAUAUGAAGGCGGGCUGGAACCUCUCGGGGUUACAGCCUUGCUGAAUUAUUCACCCUUGUCUUUUGCGUACUUCUUGUUUCCUUGGUGGGUUCGCCCACCACUAGGACAAACAUAAACCUUUUGUAAUUGCAAUCAGCGUCAGUAACAAAUUAAUAAUUACAACUUUCAACAACGGAUCUCUUGGUUCUGGCAUCGAUGAAGAACGCAGCGAAAUGCGAUAAGUAGUGUGAAUUGCAGAAUUCAGUGAAUCAUCGAAUCUUUGAACGCACAUUGCGCCCUUUGGUAUUCCAAAGGGCAUGCCUGUUCGAGCGUCAUUUGUACCCUCAAGCUUUGCUUGGUGUUGGGCGUCUUGUCUCUAGCUUUGCUGGAGACUCGCCUUAAAGUAAUUGGCAGCCGGCCUACUGGUUUCGGAGCGCAGCACAAGUCGCACUCUCUAUCAGCAAAGGUCUAGCAUCCAUUAAGCCUUUUUUUCAACUUUUGACCUCGGAUCAGGUAGGGAUACCCGCUGAACUUAAGCAUAUCAAUAAGCGGAGGAAAAGAAACCAACCA
rnacentral:rRNA from 1 species